rnacentral:lncRNA from 1 species
AUGAGCAAACAAUGCCUUUGUGUCGUUAAGCAAACACAUAAUGAGUGCUAUUCAUUGUUAAAGGUUACUGAGCCAUAUAACCUUUUUAAAUGGAGGAGAGGGUUGUGUAAUCCAAUGGCUGCCGUAUAUAAGUACAAGGAUAGACUAGCAAGGCAAACAGAGCCAUCAGGCCCCACUCUGGCCUUCAGAAGAACCUGUGCCCACCCACCUGAAGGAGGACAGGAUCAUUUUGCUGCUGAAUAUAAAGGGAUUAUAGAGCCAGAAGAUUCAAAGUGUUACAAGAAUAUAUAAGGAGGAGAUGCUGACAAGGGAAAUGAAAGAGAAGGCAAGAAUAACACCUACUGUCAAGAUGGAAUUUCAGGAGUCAGUGAUGGAGGUAAGAUACAGGUGUUGAGGGGAGGAGGCAGGG